CAUUUUGAUCAUGUUUUACAUUGUCAAGUAAGUAUUAAGUGGCAGUUUGAUCCCUUACAAAAUGCUCUUUUCACACUCACAAAUGAAUUUUACUCUCUUAUGCUGUUCUGUUAAAUGAUUUGGAAUAUUAAACUAACACACCACACGCAAAGGGAUCAAACUGCCACUUAAUACUUACUUGACAAUGUAAAACAUGAUCAAAAUGA
rnacentral:miRNA from 1 species